rnacentral:lncRNA from 1 species
GGGCCCCAAAGGGCAUAAACAUUACAACAUCAAUAAUUUUUUCAUAAUACAAUACAAACAAUGAGAUAAAAAAAAAAAAAAAAAGUUAAACGAGAACUAUUUAAGUUCUUAAAGAAUACGUAGAUAAAGAAUCUAUAGUAUGUUGGUUUUUUUAAUACUAAUGCAUUUUAUUACAAGUGUGGUUGAUAUAGAUAACAAACAAGCAGCCCAAAAAAAAAAAAAAAAAAAAAAAAAAAAUAGAUAUCCACAUAUGUAUAGUACACAAAAAGUUGGAUCAAUUAAAUAUAUAAUAAUUAGCCAAAAAGAAAGUAGAAAUUAAACAUGUCCAUGACUCAUCCUGUGUCAGCAGCAAAUAGGAAAGCAUUAUGGUUUCCUAAAGGCAGCUGACACCAGGGGACGAUACCUUAUGGGCCAUAGGCAUGUAAAAUGUGUGUAAAUGUCUCUUUCCUACCUGUAUCAAAAGCAAACAAGGAAGCAUCAUAGGUAACUUGAAUGCAGUUGAUACCAGGGGACGAUGCCUCAAGGAUAUAAGAGAACAUUUGAAUAAAUAAUAUAUCUUAACAAUUAUUUUUUUUUUUUUUUUAAUCGGCUAGUAUGCUUGUGAUAUUCAGAUGAAUAUAAUUUUCUAUGUCCAAUCAAAUGUAUAUACACACA